ACAGAGGGGGCAAGCGUUAUUCGGAAUUAUUGGGCGUAAAGGGCGCGUAGGCGGUGUCUUAAGUGAGACGUGUAAUCCCCGAGCUUAACUUGGGAACUGCAUCUCAGACUGGGGCGCUAGAGUACUGGAGAGGGUGGUAGAAUUCCACGUGUAGCGGUGAAAUGCGUAGAGAUGUGGAGGAAUACCAGUGGCGAAGGCGGCCACCUGGACAGUAACUGACGCUGAGGCGCGAAAGUGUGGGGAGCAAACAG
rnacentral:rRNA from 1 species